rnacentral:tRNA from 2 species
GGGGGGUUAGCCCAGUUGGUAGAGCGACGCCUUCGCAUGGCGUAGGCCGCGGGUUCGAGUCCCGUGCCCUCCACCA